UUAUGGAGCCAGCCGCCGAAGGUGGGACAGAUAAUUGGGGUGAAGUCGUAACAAGGUAGCCGUAUCGGAAGGUGCGGCUGGAUCACCUCCUUUCUAAGGAA
rnacentral:rRNA from 1 species